rnacentral:rRNA from 1 species
UGCUAUACAUGCAAGUAGAACGCUGAAGAGAGGAGCUUGCUCUUCUUGGAUGAGUUGCGAACGGGUGAGUAACGCGUAGGUAACCUGCCUUGUAGCGGGGGAUAACUAUUGGAAACGAUAGCUAAUACCGCAUAACAAUGGAUGACACAUGUCAUUUAUUUGAAAGGGGCAAUUGCUCCACUACAAGAUGGACCUGCGUUGUAUUAGCUAGUAGGUGAGGUAACGGCUCACCUAGGCGACGAUACAUAGCCGACCUGAGAGGGUGAUCGGCCACACUGGGACUGAGACACGGCCCAGACUCCUACGGGAGGCAGCAGUAGGGAAUCUUCGGCAAUGGGGGCAACCCUGACCGAGCAACGCCGCGUGAGUGAAGAAGGUUUUCGGAUCGUAAAGCUCUGUUGUAAGUCAAGAACGAGUGUGAGAGUGGAAAGUUCACACUGUGACGGUAGCUUACCAGAAAGGGACGGCUAACUACGUGCCAGCAGCCGCGGUAAUACGUAGGUCCCGAGCGUUGUCCGGAUUUAUUGGGCGUAAAGCGAGCGCAGGCGGUUUGAUAAGUCUGAAGUUAAAGGCUGUGGCUCAACCAUAGUUCGCUUUGGAAACUGUCAAACUUGAGUGCAGAAGGGGAGAGUGGAAUUCCAUGUGUAGCGGUGAAAUGCGUAGAUAUAUGGAGGAACACCGGUGGCGAAAGCGGCUCUCUGGUCUGUAACUGACGCUGAGGCUCGAAAGCGUGGGGAGCGAACAGGAUUAGAUACCCUGGUAGUCCACGCCGUAAACGAUGAGUGCUAGGUGUUGGAUCCUUUCCGGGGAUUCAGUGCCGCAGCUAACGCAUUAAGCACUCCGCCUGGGGAGUACGACCGCAAGGUUGAACUCAAGG